rnacentral:rRNA from 1 species
GAGUUUGAUCGUGGCUCAGAUUGAACGCUGGCGGCAUGCCUUACACAUGCAAGUCGAACGGCAGCAUGAUCUAGCUUGCUAGAUCGAUGGCGAGUGGCGAACGGGUGAGUAAUACAUCGGAACGUGCCCUGUAGUGGGGAUAACUAGUCGAAAGAUUAGCUAAUACCGCAUACGACCUGAGGGUGAAAGUGGGGGACCGGCAAGGCCUCAUGCUAUAGGAGCGGCCGAUGUCUGAUUAGCUAGUUGGUGGGGUAAAGGCCCGACCCAAGGCGACGAUCAGUAGCUGGUCUGAGAGGACGAUCAGCCACACUGGGACGUGAGACACGGCCCAGACUCCUACGGGAGGCAGCAGUGGGGAAUUUUGGACAAUGGGCGAAAGCCUGAUCCAGCAAUGCCGCGUGUGUG